CCGAAGCGCUUCUUGGGGCACCAGCUGGGGCCCUGCGCCGUGGAACUCCCGGCUCCCACCAGUGAGGGCUUCGGAGUCUGCUGGCUAUUCCGGCCAAGAAUGUCUGCACGAGAAGCCCCCUGCUGGUCAGAUUCGUGGCGUGGGGACCUCGGGCUAACUGGAGUUCCCUAAUGCCUUGCUAAAGAAAAUGAGUGACAUCUCUCAGAGAGCAAGAAAAUUUCUGCACUGUAAAACAAUUUCCAGGACCUUGGAGAUACUCGCCUUCAUUUUUCCAGUUAUCAAAAUAGUAUUUUCAAAAGCAGAUCUGCAGACUGGUGGACAUUUUGUUGUAUGUGAAAUUGCUGAUGUGGCUGCCCUUUUGACACAGCUAAAGGAGGUACUGAAUAUUUAUUGAACACCUAUUAUGUUUCAAGCACUGUACUUAUUGUGAUUGGUGAAGCUAUAACAGCAUCCUGUGGCUAUGAAGAAAGGCCAAGAGAACCACUGAGACUUUGGCGCUAACUUCAUUGAACCAACAGACCAGCAUCUAUUAUCUACUGAGACUUCUCACUAGGAGGGAAAAAUCAUCCCCUAUUUGUUUAGGUCAUAGUGAGGUUUUGUGCUAGUUUAUUACUUUCUGUCAAAAGCAUUCUGACCUAAUACACACAUUCUAUUGUUCUACUUAUAAAUCUAGUAAACAAAUAAAAUAAAACAAAUUUGGGGAAGGGGGACUUUAACUAACAUUUGAUUAACUUAAGCUAAAUAAACCAAACUCCCUUAA